rnacentral:tRNA from 1 species
GCAUCGAUGGUUCAGUGGUAGAAUGCUUGCCUGCCACGCGGGCGGCCCUGGUUCGAUUCCCGGCCGAUGCA